CUUCGCUGACGAGUGGCGGACGGGUGAGUAAUGUCUGGGAAACUGCCUGAUGGAGGGGGAUAACUACUGGAAACGGUAGCUAAUACCGCAUAACGUCGCAAGACCAAAGAGGGGGACCUUCGGGCCUCUUGCCAUCGGAUGUGCCCAGAUGGGAUUAGCUAGUAGGUGGGGUAACGGCUCACCUAGGCGACGAUCCCUAGCUGGUCUGAGAGGAUGACCAGCCACACUGGAACUGAGACACGGUCCAGACUCCUACGGGAGGCAGCAGUGGGGAAUAUUGCACAAUGGGCGCAAGCCUGAUGCAGCCAUGCCGCGUGUAUGAAGAAGGCCUUCGGGUUGUAAAGUACUUUCAGCGGGGAGGAAGGCGAUAAGGUUAAUAACCUUGUCGAUUGACGUUACCCGCAGAAGAAGCACCGGCUAACUCCGUGCCAGCAGCCGCGGUAAUACGGAGGGUGCAAGCGUUAAUCGGAAUUACUGGGCGUAAAGCGCACGCAGGCGGUCUGUCAAGUCGGAUGUGAAAUCCCCGGGCUCAACCUGGGAACUGCAUUCGAAACUGGCAGGCUAGAGUCUUGUAGAGGGGGGUAGAAUUCCAGGUGUAGCGGUGAAAUGCGUAGAGAUCUGGAGGAAUACCGGUGGCGAAGGCGGCCCCCUGGACAAAGACUGACGCUCAGGUGCGAAAGCGUGGGGAGCAAACAGGAUUAGAUAGCCUGGUAGUCCACGCCGUAAACGAUGUCGACUUGGAGGUUGUGCCCUUG
rnacentral:rRNA from 1 species